UCCGAGUUGACCCCGGCAGUCUCCUGCGAGUCCCCGCCAUUACGCGCUGGCAACACAGGACAAGGGUUGCGCUCGUUGCGGGACUUAACCCAACAUCUCACGACACGAGCUGACGACAGCCAUGCACCACCUGUAUACCGACCACAAGGGGGGCCGUAUCUCUGCAGCUUUCCGGUAUAUGUCAAACCCAGGUAAGGUGGGGAUGACGUUUCUAGGAGGGUG
rnacentral:misc_RNA from 1 species